rnacentral:sRNA from 1 species
UCUGUGAAAAUUUCCUUCCCAGAGCAUCAACCUGGAGGAGGCCCAGAGUACACUGAAGACAGAAGUGAAGUCUGAUACCCACACAGGUCCAGAGAUAGGAUGAAAAUGGCUGGCAUCCCAGGGAGGAGCGGCAGAGGUCCAGGGCAGAAAGCGGCAGGGACUGUAGCUGGCAAACAUUUCGCAGUCCAAAGUCGUCGCCCACAUCUCUCUUCUCACGGACACUGGACAGCAUAAGGACGAGUGGCUACACAAGGAGGAAUGCUGAUUCAAGGCAGUAUUGGGAAGAGCACAGACAGGAUCAUGGAGAGAAACAUGGAGAGGACCAUGGAUAGGAACAUUGAGAGGACCAUGAAGAAAGCAUGAAGAGGAUCAUUGAGAGGACCAGGGUGAGGACCAUGGAGACAACCAUGGGGGACAGCAUGAUGAGGACUAUGAUGAGGACCACAGAAGGAACAUUAAGAGGUCAAUAAAGAGGAGAAUGGAAAGGACUAUGGAGAGAAUCAUGGAGAAGACCAAUGGAGAAAGAAUGAAGACUAUGGUGACAGCCACAGAAAGAACCAUGGAGAGGGUCAUGCGGAAGACCAUGUGAGAAGCAUGGAAGGAGUGUGGAGAGGACAUGGAAAGGGCUAGGUGAGGAUCGUGAAGAGGAGCAUGGAGAGAACAUGAAGAAAACAUGGAGAGGAGCAUAGAGAGGACCAUGGAGAGAACAUGGAGAAAACAUGAAGAGGACCAUGGAAAGGACCAUAGAGAAAACAUGAAGAGGACCAUGGAAAGGACCAUGGAGAGGACCAUGGAGAAGUCACUACAAUGAUCAGGGCUAAUUGUUGAUCUGUCCUCCAGUUUUUUAAUCAUUCCUUUAUACAUUUUGUUGUGGUGUUGGUGACCACAUGGAGACAGACUUUCAGGGGUGCUUCUCAAGUGCAGUUAGUAGAUGUAUUUUUAGUUAUUACUAAAUCCUGUUAAGUGUUUCCUUAUUAUUCAGACAUACCCCCCCCACACACACACACCAGCUUUCUUAAAGACUGUUUUAAUCUCCUUACUCUUUAUGGUGAUUCUAGUUCCUUGGUGCAGACCAUUUGCAUAGUCCCUUUCUUCCUAGCUUGUUGCAAUCAAUUCUGUGAUUUUGAAUAUGUGAAUUUGAAGUCCUGCCCUUCUAGGAAUCCUCAGGUUGGCUCUGUUGUUUUGGCUGAGAAGUUAGUCAUUGCUCACACUGCUCCUCACUUAGAGACAAUCUUCCACUUGCCUCUUGCUUGCCCUUUCUCUUCUUUAGCUUUGGCUUUCAGCAGAAGCUGUGAUGGCAACAGUGGUGUUAUCUGAAUGCUUAUGCUUCAUAGAGAAUAUGCAGCCGGACUCCUUGUUCAUUGAAUUUUCUUCCUCAUCCCCUCCCCCAUUGCUGUGUUAAUUCUCUCCCCACUAUAUCUCAAUCCCUAUCUCUCCACCCCCUCUCUCUAUGUUGAGAGCUUUUGGUGCUGCUUCUAGGAAUUUGGCAUUUGUCACCAGGCUCAGACAAAGAAGCAGGCUCAGAUAAGAAUAUUAGUAACAGUGGCCAUGAGGGCUUUGUUUACUGCUGUGCUGAAUCACUCCCUUGUGUGAUCUCUCUGCUUACUACUUUACUUAAUUAUUACCUUGUGUGAUCCUUUGGCUUACUACUUCGCUUGAGUAUCUUGUGUGAUCUCUUUGUUCACUACUUUGUUUACUUUGUCUUUGAUCUAAGAACUGACUGUGUUUUUUGGAUGUA